GACGAACGCUGGCGGCGUGCUUAACACAUGCAAGUCGAACGGAAAGGCCCUGCUUUUGUUGGGUGCUCGAGUGGCGAACGGGUGAGUAACACGUGAGUAACCUGCCCUUGACUUUGGGAUAACUUCAGGAAACUGGGGCUAAUACCGGAUAGGAGCUCCUGCUGCAUGGUGGGGGUUGGAAAGUUUCGGCGGUUGGGGAUGGACUCGCGGCUUAUCAGCUUGUUGGUGGGGUAGUUGCUUACCAAGGCUUUGACGGGUAGCCGGCCUGAGAGGGUGACCGGCGACAUGGGGACUGAGAGACGGACCAGACUCCUACGGGAGGCAGCAGUGGGGAAUAUUGCACAAUGGGCGGAAGCCUGAUGCAGAAACGCCGCGUGCGGGAUGACGGCCUUCGGGUUGUAAACCGCUUUCGCCUGUGACGAAGCGUGAGUGACGGUAAUGGGUAAAGAAGCACCGGCUAACUACGUG
rnacentral:rRNA from 1 species